UACGUAGGUGGCAAGCGUUGUCCGGAUUUACUGGGCGUAAAGAGCGCGCAGGCGGUCGUCCAAGUCGCGUGUGAAAGCCCCCGGCUCAACUGGGGAGGGUCACGCGAUACUGGUCGACUCGAAGGCAGGAGAGGGUAGUGGAAUUCCCGGUGUAGUGGUGAAAUGCGUAGAUAUCAGGAGGAACACCGGUGGCGAAGGCGGAUCUCUGGGCCUUGCCUGACGCUGAGGCGCGAAAGCUAGGGGAGCGAACAGG
rnacentral:rRNA from 1 species